rnacentral:rRNA from 1 species
AAGAGCUUGUAGGCGGUUUGUCGCGUCUGCUGUGAAAAUCCGGGGCUCAACCCCGGACUUGCAGUGGGUACGGGCAGACUAGAGUAUGGUAGGGGAGACUGGAAUUCCUGGUGUAGCGGUGAAAUGCGCAGAUAUCAGGAGGAACACCGAUGGCGAAGGCAGGUCUCUGGGCCAUUACUGACGCUGAGAAGCGAAAGCAUGGGGAGCGAACAGGAUUAGAUACCCUGGUAGUCCAUGCCGUAAACGUUGGGCGCUAGGUGUGGGACUCAUUCCACGAGUUCCGUGCCGCAGCUAACGCAUUAAGCGCCCCGCCUGGGGAGUACGGCCGCAAGGCUAAAACUCAAAGGAAUUGACGGGGGCCCGCACAAGCGGCGGAGCAUGCGGAUUAAUUCGAUGCAACGCGAAGAACCUUACCAAGGCUUGACAUAUACCGGAAACACCUAGAGAUAGGUGCCCCUUUUGGUCGGUAUACAGGUGGUGCAUGGUUGUCGUCAGCUCGUGUCGUGAGAUGUUGGGUUAAGUCCCGCAACGAGCGCAACCCUCGUUCUAUGUUGCCAGCACGUAAUGGUGGGGACUCAUAGAAGACUGCCGGGGUCAACUCGGAGGAAGGUGGGGAUGACGUCAAAUCAUCAUGCCCCUUAUGUCUUGGGCUUCACGCAUGCUACAAUGGCCGGUACAAAGGGCUGCGAUACCGCAAGGUGGAGCGAAUCCCAAAAAACCGGUCUCAGUUCGGAUUGGGGUCUGCAACUCGACCCCAUGAAGUCGGAGUCGCUAGUAAUCGCAGAUCAGCAACGCUGCGGUGAAUACGUUCCCGGGCCUUGUACACACCGCCCGUCAAGUCACGAAAGUC